rfam:Photorhabdus luminescens subsp. laumondii TTO1 complete genome
ACACUGACCUGUACUGGCUGUCCGGUGGCAAAGCCCGCUUCUUCCAGCCAGUUGCCUUUAAGAUGCAAACUGGGGUGCUGGCUGUAAUAGCGGGUCAUACCGGUGCUGCGGUCUUCGUGGCGGGUGCGG